AGUAACAAAUCAAUGCAGUCCUCUUCUCUAACUAACCGACCACCUGUUCUCUCUUUUCCAGGAAAACUUCCUCUCCUUGUCUAAUCCCCCUUAACCUCACCAUAAAACAUAUCGUCAUGGUUAACCAUAGUUGGUUAUGGUUAACCAGGUUUUGGUCUCCAUGAGGACUACUGGUCCUCACAGCUGCAGGAGGAGCAGCUGCCGCCGCCAUGCCGCCAUUUUGCCUUCGGCUGGAGAGCGCGCAACCUUACGCGCACUGCUGAAGUGUCCUUGAGCAAGACACUGACCCCACGCUGACCUUUAGGACUCCUCUGGAAGAAGAGAUCUUGUAUCUGCAAUGGGACCUUCCUGCAUGGCUAAAUAAAGGAAAUCCCCUCUGCAGUGAUGCCUUAAGAGGACGCCUGGUGCGUAAAAAAGGUGGAGAUGAGUCCUCGAGACAGAAAAAUCAAG